UACGUAGGGGGCAAGCGUUGUCCGGAUUUAUUGGGCGUAAAGAGCGUGUAGGCGGCCAGAUAGGUCCGUUGUAAAAACUCGAGGCUCAACCUCGAGAUGUCGAUGGAAACCGUCUGGCUAGAGUCCGGAAGAGGAGUGUGGAAUUCCUGGUGUAGCGGUGAAAUGCGCAGAUAUCAGGAAGAACACCUAUGGCGGAGGCAGCGCUAUGGGACGGUACUGACGCUGAGACGCGAAAGCGUGGGGAGCGAAAAGG
rnacentral:rRNA from 1 species